UACGUAGGGUGCGAGCGUUGUCCGGAAUUAUUGGGCGUAAAGAGCUCGUAGGCGGUUUGUCGCGUCGGCCGUGAAAACUUGGGGCUUAACCCCAAGCCUGCGGUCGAUACGGGCAGACUUGAGUUCGGCAGGGGAGACUGGAAUUCCUGGUGUAGCGGUGAAAUGCGCAGAUAUCAGGAGGAACACCGGUGGCGAAGGCGGGUCUCUGGGCCUUACCUGACGCUGAGGCGCGAAAGCUAGGGGAGCGAACAGG
rnacentral:rRNA from 1 species